GACGAACGCUGGCGGCGUGCCUAGUACAUGCAAGUAGAACGCUGAAGGAGGAGCUUGCUCUUCUGGAUGAGUUGCGAACGGGUGAGUAACGCGUAGGUAACCUGCCUGGUAGCGGGGGAUAACUAUUGGAAACGAUAGCUAAUACCGCAUAAGAGUAGAUGUUGCAUGACAUUUGCUUAAAAGGUGCAAUUGCAUCACUACCAGAUGGACCUGCGUUGUAUUAGCUAGUUGGUGGGUAACGGCUCACCAAGGCGACGAUACAUAGCCGACCUGAGAGGGUGAUCGGCCACACUGGGACUGAGACACGGCCCAGACUCCUACGGGAGGCAGCAGUAGGGAAUCUUCGGCAAUGGACGGAAGUCUGACCGAGCAACGCCGCGUGAGUGAAGAAGGUUUUCGGAUCGUAAAGCUCUGUUGUAAGAGAAGAACGAGUGUGAGAGUGGAAAGUUCACACUGUGACGGUAUCUUACCAGAAAGGGACGGCUAACUACGUG
rnacentral:rRNA from 1 species